GUUUGGAAACUAGAAACAUGCAUCUUUUUGGCCCUUUUUUGGCCCCUAAUUCCUACAUAUUUUGGGCAAUUAACCCAAAACUUUAUCCCAACCUCCCCUUUGUUAUAUGGUACAUUGUGGUACAAUUUCAGAGAGAUCCAUACAAUUACACAUAAGUUAGUCUAGAAACUAGAAAAAUGCUUGUUUUGACCCCUUUUUGGCCCUUAAUACCUAAACUUUGGCCCCA
rnacentral:lncRNA from 1 species